ACCCGCUGAAUUUAAGCAUAUAAGUAAGCGGUGGAUAAGAAACUAAACAGGAUUCCCUCAGUAAUGGCGAAUGAACAGGGAUGAGCUCAGCAUCGAAAUUCGGGCUUCUGGCCUUGACUUGUAGUUUCGAGUAGCUCCACCAACGGAGGCGCAGAUGUAAGCCUCUUGGAAAAGAGCAUCAACGAGGGCGAGAGUCCCGUUCGUCAUUUGCAGUCCCCCGUGUACGGUGUGCCUACUAAGAGUCACGUUCCUCGGGAUUGGAGCGCAAAGCGGGUGGUAAAUUUCAUCCAAAGCUAAAUAUAGGUUCGAGACCGAUAGCAAACAAGUACCAUGAGGGAAAGAUGAAAAGGACUUUGGAAAGAGAGUUAAAAGUGCCUGAAAUUGCUGAAAGGGAAGCGAAUGGAACCAGUGUAUCUUGGUGAGAUUGUUGCGUGCUAAAGUGAGUGUGUGCCGCAUUAACGCAAGUGGUGUGGUGUGCUCUGAUCUGGAUGUGCGUGGUGCUUCUUGCCUUGCGUGUCAACGUCAGUUUGGAGUUGAGGAAAACUCAAGGGACAUGGUAGCUCGCUCAUGGGUGAUCGAAAGUGCCUUGUAGAACUCAUCUCUGGACUGAAUAUUGUGUGUCUUGGUGCAUUGCCUCAGNGCUCGCCUCCCCUCGCCCUGUGUGUUGGGUUGGUGUGAUCUGUGUUGCAACCCUUGACAUGAAUAUGGUGACAAAAUGGUUUCACUCGACCCGUCUUGAAACACGGACCAAGGAGUCUAACAUAUGUGCAAGUUCCCGGGUGGGUAAACCUGCUGGCACAAUGAAAGUGACUGCUGGGAUAUUUGCACCAGCAACCGACUGAUCGAUUGAGAGAGGUUUGAGUAUGAGCACAUCUGUUAGGACCCGAAAGAUGGUGAACUAUGCCUGAGAAGGGCGAAGUCAGGGGAAACUCUGAUGGAGGCUCAUAGCGAUACUGACGUGCAAAUCGUUCGUCAUACUUGGGUAUAGGGGCGAAAGACUAAUCGAACCAUCUAGUAGCUGGUUCCCUCCGA
rnacentral:rRNA from 1 species